rnacentral:rRNA from 1 species
GCUUGUCUCAAAGAUUAAGCCAUGCAUGUAUAAGUAUAAACGCAUUGAAGCGUGAAACCGCGAACGGCUCAUUACAACAGCUAUAAUUUACUUGAUCUUGACAUCCUACAUGGAUAACUGUGGUAAUUCUAGAGCUAAUACAUGCACCAAAGCUCCAACCCGCAAGGGAAGAGCGCAUUUAUUAGAACAAAACCAAGCGGCUUCGGCUGCCCAACGUUGACUCAGAAUAACUAACCUGAUCGCAUGGUCUUGUACCGGCGACGUGUCUUUCAAGUAUCUGCCUUAUCAACUUUCGAUGGUACUGUCAUUGACUACCAUGGUGGUGACGGGUAACGGAGGAUCAGGGUUCGACUCCGGAGAAGGGGCCUGAGAAAUGGCCACUACGUCUAAGGAUGGCAGCAGGCGCGCGAAUUACCCACUCUCAGAACAACUAGAGGAGGUAGUGACGAGAAAUAACGAGACCGUUCUCAACAGAGGCCGGUCAUCGGAAUGGGUACAAUUUAAACCCUUUAACGAGUAUCUAUGAGAGGGCAAGUCUGGUGCCAGCAGCCGCGGUAAUUCCAGCUCUCAAAAUGCAUAGAAUUAUUGCUGCGGUUAAAAAGCUCGUAGUUGGAUCUGUGCCAGCAUGCCGGUCCAUCUUCGGAUGCGUACUGGUUCAUUGCCGGCCUUCCUGCAGUUUGUCGGCUCUGUGCCCUUCACUGGGCGCAGUUGUUCGGUGCUGCAAGUUUACUUUGAACAAAUCAGAGUGCUCUAAACAGGCGUUUCGCUUGAAUGUUCGUGCAUGGAAUAAUAGAAGAGGAUUUCGGUUCUAUUUUAUUGGUUUUAUAGACUGAGAUAAUGGUUAACAGAGACAAACGGGGGCAUUCGUAUUGCUACGUGAGAGGUGAAAUUCUUGGACC